UACGGAGGAUGCAAGCGUUAUCCGGAUUUAUUGGGUUUAAAGGGUGCGUAGGCGGGGAUUUAAGUCAGUGGUGAAAUGCUGCAGCUUAACUGUAGCACUGCCAUUGAUACUGAAUUUCUUGAGUGUGGUUGAAGUAGGCGGAAUGUGUAAUGUAGCGGUGAAAUGCUUAGAGAUUACACAGAACACCGAUUGCGUAGGCAGCUUACUAAGCCAUAACUGACGCUGAGGCACGAAAGUGUGGGGAUCGAACAGG
rnacentral:rRNA from 1 species